UGCCGAGUUCCCUUAUUGAUAAGGGAAACGGGGGAACCAAUUUUUGGGUGAAUUGACCUCCUAUUCACAGAGGGGUCAUAGGGGACCUUCAACCGAACCCUUAAGCUAACCUCGUAGGCAUUUGGAAGGGG
rnacentral:sRNA from 1 species